rnacentral:rRNA from 1 species
CAGUCGCCGCGGUAAUACGAAGGUGGCCAGCGUUCCUCGGAAUGACUGGGCGUAAAGGGCGCGUAGGCGGCGGCCAAAGUCAGGCGUGAAAUUCCUGGGCUCAACCUGGGGGCUGCGCUUGAUACUUGGUUGCUUGAGUGGGGAAGAGGGUCGUGGAAUUCCCAGUGUAGAGGUGAAAUGCGUAGAUAUUGGGAAGAACACCGGUGGCGAAGGCGGCGACCUGGUCCUUGACUGACGCUGAGGCGCGAAAGCGUGGGGAGCAAACAGGAUUAGAUACCCCAGUAGUCCCUGUCUCUUAUAU